CGCUGGCGGCGUGCCUAACACAUGCAAGUCGAACGGGUGAGAGGAGCUUGCUCCUCGAUCUAGUGGCGAACGGGUGAGUAACGCGUGAGAAACCUACCUUUCAGUGGGGGGGACAACAGUUGGAAGCGACUGCUAAUACCGCAUAAUGUGCCGGGAGGGCAUCCUCCUGGUACCAAAGCUUUAUGUGCUGAAAGAUGGUCUCGCGUCUGAUUAGCUAGUUGGUGAGGCAACGGCUCACCAAGGCGACGAUCAGUAGCCGGUCUGAGAGGAUGAACGGCCACAUUGGGACUGAGAUACGGCCCAGACUCCUACGGGAGGCAGCAGUGGGGAAUAUUGGGCAAUGGGGGAAACCCUGACCCAGCAACGCCGCGUGAAGGAAGAAGGCCUUCGGGUUGUAAACUUCUUUUAGCAGGGACGAAGAACGUGACGGUACCUGCAGAAAAAGCAACGGCUAACUACGUG
rnacentral:rRNA from 1 species